rnacentral:rRNA from 1 species
UACGAAGGGGGCUAGCGUUGCUCGGAAUCACUGGGCGUAAAGCGCACGUAGGCGGAUUGCUAAGUCAGGGGUGAAAUCCUGGAGCUCAACUCCAGAACUGCCUUUGAUACAGCACGUCUCGAGUCCGGAAGAGGAGAGUGGAAUUCCCGGUGUAGCGGUGAAAUGCGCAGAUAUCGGGAAGAACACCCGUGGCUAAGGCGGCUCUCUGGUACGUGACUGACGCUGAGACGCGAAAGCGUGGGGAGCGAACAGG